AACGAACGCUGGCGGCAGGCCUAACACAUGCAAGUCGAGCGCCCCGCCAGGGGAGCGGCGGACGGGUGAGUAACGCGUGGGAACGUACCCUUUGCUACGGAAUAGCCUCGGGAAACUGGGAGUAAUACCGUAUGUGUCCUUCGGGAGAAAGAUUUAUCAGCAAGGGAUCGGCCCGCGUUGGAUUAGGUAGUUGGUGGGGUAAUGGCCUACCAAGCCGACGAUCCAUAGCUGGUUUGAGAGGAUGAUCAGCCACACUGGGACUGAGACACGGCCCAGACUCCUACGGGAGGCAGCAGUGGGGAAUCUUAGACAAUGGGCGCAAGCCUGAUCUAGCCAUGCCGCGUGAGCGAUGAAGGCCUUAGGGUUGUAAAGCUCUUUCAGGGGGGAAGAUAAUGACUGUACCCCCAGAAGAAGCCCCGGCUAACUCCGUG
rnacentral:rRNA from 1 species